AAAGACUCAAUUCCUGAGUUUUUGUGUUUAACGUUUGACUGUCCGUCUUAUAUGAAAUUUUUUUAUAAUUAGUAUUUUCAUUGUUAUUAGAUGAUAAAUCAUGAAUAAUAUUUUAUGUGUGAUUUAUCUUUUUAAUUUUUUUUAUAAUAUUUUCAAAUAAGACGGACGGUCAAACGUUAGACACGAAAACCUAUA
rnacentral:pre_miRNA from 1 species